GGAUGAUCAGCCACACUGGAACUGACACACGGUCCAGACUCCUACGGGAGGCAGCAGUGAGGAAUUUUGCGCAAUGGGGGAAACCCUGACGCAGCAACGCCGCGUGAGUGAAGAAGGCCCUUGGGUCGUAAAGCUCUGUCAAUGGGGAAGAAAUUAUCUGGUAUUAAUAGUGCCUUGUAUUGACGGUACCCAUGAAGGAAGCACCGGCUAACUCCGUGCCAGCAGCCGCGGUAAUACGGGGGGUGCAAGCGUUAUUCGGAAUUAUUGGGCGUAAAGGGCACGCAGGCGGUCCUGUCAGUCAGAUGUGAAAGCCCGGGGCUCAACCCCGGACGUGCAUUUGAAACAGCAGGACUUGAGUAUGGGAGAGGAAAGGGGAAUUCCUGGUGUAGAGGUGAAAUUCGUAGAUAUCAGGAGGAACACCGGUGGCGAAGGCGCCUUUCUGGACCAAUACUGACGCUGAGGUGCGAAGGCGUGGGUAGCGAACGGGAUUAGAUACCCCGGUAGUCCACGCAGUAAACGUUGUAUGCUAGGUGUAGCGGGUAUUGACCCCUGCUGUGCCGCAGUUAACACAUUAAGCAUACCGCCUGGGGAGUACGGUCGCAAGACUAAAACUCAAAGAAAUUGACGGGGGCCCGCACAAGCGGUGGAGCAUGUGGUUUAAUUCAACGCAACGCGAAGAACCUUACCCAGACUUGACAUCUUGAGAAUCCUUUAGAAAUUUAGGAGUGCCUUCGGGAGCUCAAAGACAGGUGCUGCAUGGCUGUCGUCAGCUCGUGUCGUGAGAUGUUUGGUUAAGUCCAGCAACGAGCGCAACCCUUGUCUUCAGUUGCCAGCACGUAAUGUGGGAUCUCUGAAGAGACUGCCCCGGUUAACGGGGAGGAAGGUGGGGAUGACGUCAAGUCCUCAUGGCCCUUAUGUCUGGGGCUACACACGUGCUACAAUGGUAUGUACAACGGGCAGCAAGGCAGCGAUGCCAAGCAAAUCCCUUAAAGCAUAUCCCAGUCCGGAUUGGAGUCUGCAACUCGACUCCAUGAAGUUGGAAUCGCUAGUAAUCGUGGAUCAGCAUGCCACGGUGAAUACGUUCCCGGGCCUUGUACACACCGCCCGUCACACCAUGAGAGUUGAUUGUACCCGACGUCACUGGGCCAACCCUUCGGGGGGGCAGGUGCCUAAGGUAUGGUUGAUAAUUAGGGUGAAGUCGUAACAAGGUA
rnacentral:rRNA from 1 species